rnacentral:rRNA from 1 species
GUCUGACCUGCCCUAUGAAGUUAGAUUUAAAUGGCUGCGAUACUCUGAUCGUACAAAGGUAGCAUAAUAAUUAGUUUUUUAAUUAAGAACUGGAAUGAAGGGUCCUACGAGAAAAAGACUGUCUCAAUUUAAUUUAAUUAGAACUUUAUUUUUAAGUAAAAAAGCUUAAAUAAUUUUAAAAGACGAGAAGACCCUAUAGAGUUUUAUAUUUAAUAUUUACUUUAAAAUUGAAGAAUUAUAUAAUUAAUUUAAAUAUAAAGUAUUUGGUUGGGGUGAUUAAAAAAUUAAAUAAACUUUUUUUAUUUUAAAAUCCAUUGAUUUAUGAAUAAUUGAGCCA